rnacentral:rRNA from 1 species
CCCUUAGACGUUCUGGGCCGCACGCGCGCUACACUGACCAGUGCAACAAGCAUCCGUCCUUGGCCGACAGGCUCGGGCAAUCUUUGAACGCUGGUCGUGAUGGGGAUAGACUUUUGCAAUUUUUGGUCUUCAACGAGGAAUUCCUAGUAAACGCAAGUCAUCAACUUGCAUUGAUUACGUCCCUGCCCUUUGUACACACCGCCCGUCGCACCUACCGAUUGAAUGGUCCGGUGAAGCCUCCGGAUUGGCGCGCACCUCGGUGCCGCCGAGAAGUUGGCUAAACCUUAUCAUCUAGAGGAAGGUGAAGUCGUAACA